GACAUCAUGGCCGAGUGGUCUAAGGCGUUCGACUCAAGAUCGAAUACGCGUACGCGUGCGCGGGUUCGAAUCCUGCUGAUGUCA
rfam:Vittaforma corneae ATCC 50505 unplaced genomic scaffold supercont1.16, whole genome shotgun sequence.